UACAGAGGUCUCAAGCGUUGUUCGGAUUCAUUGGGCGUAAAGGGUGCGUAGGUGGCUAGGUAAGUCGGAUGUGAAAUCCCCAGGCUUAACCUGGGAACUGCAUCCGAUACUGGAUGGCUUGAAUCCGGGAGAGGGAUGCAGAAUUCCAGGUGUAGCGGUGAAAUGCGUAGAUAUCUGGAGGAAUACCGGUGGCGAAGGCGGCAUCCUGGACCGGCAUUGACGCUGAGUGAGCGAAAGCCAGGGGAGCAAACGGG
rnacentral:rRNA from 1 species